rnacentral:snoRNA from 1 species
AUCCUAUGAUGAGUACACUUUCCAGUUCUGCUUCUGAUCUCUCUGAAGAGAAUCUUUUAUACCAAAAUACCUGACCU